AUUGAACGCUGGCGGCAGGCCUAACACAUGCAAGUCGAGCGGAUGAAGGGAGCUUGCUCCUGGAUUCAGCGGCGGACGGGUGAGUAAUGCCUAGGAAUCUGCCUGGUAGUGGGGGAUAACGUCCGGAAACGGGCGCUAAUACCGCAUACGUCCUGAGGGAGAAAGUGGGGGAUCUUCGGACCUCACGCUAUCAGAUGAGCCUAGGUCGGAUUAGCUAGUUGGUGGGGUAAAGGCCUACCAAGGCGACGAUCCGUAACUGGUCUGAGAGGAUGAUCAGUCACACGGGGACUGAGACACGGACCAGACUCCUACGGGAGGGAGCAGUGGGGAAUUUUGGACAAUGGGGGAAAACCUGAUCCAGCCAUGCCGCGUGUGGGAAGAAGGUCUUCGGGUUGUAAAGCACUUUUGGUUGGGAAGAAAGGGAGUUAAUUAAUACCUUGCGGUAUUGACGGUACCUACAGAAUAAGCACCGGCUAACUACGUG
rnacentral:rRNA from 1 species